GAGAAAAGUUAUGCCACAGCACUUUGAGGACAAUAAGCACUAUUGAGAGGUCGACCAAUCGAAAGCACAGUAUUUGCAAGUCGUGGGGGUGGGUGGAGCUGUCACAUCCAGACCCAGCUACCAAGAAUACAGAUCUGAAAAACCAGUUACCUAACAACAGAGACUUUUCCCUGAAAAACUGCCAUGAAUCUGUGCUCCCUGGGAGUGUGCUCACCUUCCCUGACAGCAGAAAGAUGUUGCACCCAAAAAAAGCUAACCUGGCCAGUGGGCAACUGUGUCAUCUUGGCUCCUGAAAUGAGAAGGGUAGAGAACAAUGGAGGCCAUGGAGCUCCAUGUGAGCACAAUUGGAAUCGCACUCCCCUGCCAGCUUGAGCU